CUCGUAGCGUAGUGGUUAAAGCAUUGGUGCAUAAAACCAAAGGCCCCGGUUUCGAUUCCCGGCGGG
rnacentral:tRNA from 1 species